rnacentral:misc_RNA from 1 species
AAAUUGAAGGUUCAAUAGAUGGCUUUCUAUGGCUACAAUGAUGAUGAUGCUGGUGAGUACCAUUGGACUCCUAAUUUUAAUGUCUCUUAUGAUUAUGAUGCUUUUCCAAUGUCAUAUCCUUCCUAUGGGCAAAGUACUAAUUACAAUUACUACCAUACUACUCAAAUACAUCCACAAUUCACUUACUCUGUACACAACUCUGUUGAGCCAAAACUUAUCCAAUAUGAAAAGGGGGCUGAUUCAUUGGAGACAAGAACUGUAAUUUCUUGUUAUACCAAAGAACUGGAUGAUACUCAGUUUGAUGAAUAUGAUCCAACCCCUUAUGAUGGUGGUUUUGAUAUGGCGCAAACCUAUGGAAAACCCCUUCCUCCCUCAAAUGAAAUAUGUUAUCCUCGUUCGACCCUCAAGUCUAAUGGACUUCCAUUAGAUGGUUUCGACUAUGGAUCAAAUAAUUUGCCCUAUGUAAAUCACGCCAAUCAGCUAGAACAACUUCAGAAUCAAAAGAAAGGGAAUGGUGUUAAAGAUGAGCAAAAAUCUUCAUCUGGUGUGAAAGAAAAAACCAGUUUUGGAAAACCUGCUCAACAAGAUCAAGAUUUUGUAAUCGAUAAUGGGAAAACAGGGGAAAAACCCAUUCUUGAAAAACCAGUAGAACCCCUUCAACAAGAUCAAGAUUUUGUAGUUGAUAAUGGGAGUAUAGGGGAAUAUGGAUAUGAUUAUGGGAGGCAAUUGCAACAAAUUCCAUAUGGUUCAGGUUUGGAAUCCAUGGAUUUAUGUGAGAGCUUAUUUGGUUACUGGCCUUGCAUAGCUAAGGAAACUCAGAGAAGAAAUUGCAACUGUGCAAAUGUUGUUGAAGAUAACAGCAGCAGCUACAAUGAACAAUGGAAAUGUACUGCAGAUUAUCUGUUUGGGAAUCCUUAUGGAUAUGGUGGUGAUGGAGGAGAUUGGGAUUGUGUUUAUAGCAAUCAAAGUUACUAUAAUCAUCAGCAACAACUUUGAUUUAAUGAAGGAUUGGUAAAGAAAUACCUUAAUGCUUCAAAUAAUAAAAUAAAUAUAAAUCUUAUCAUAGUUAGGCUGUGUAGCUUUUCCUUUUUUCCUUUUAGUCAUUAUCAUUAUUGCAACUGUUAAUUACACUUUUGAUCCCUCAAUUAUUAGUAACUUGCAAUUAUGCGGCUGAACUGCAUUACCCUUUGAUUAUAAAUUCCCGUUAUAU